rnacentral:rRNA from 1 species
CCUACGUGAGGCAGCAGUGAGGAAUAGUGGUCAAUGGACGAGAGUCUGAACCAGCCAAGUAGCGUGAAGGAUGACUGCCCUAUGGGUUGUAAACUUCUUUUAUAAAGGAAUAAAACGAGGCACGUGUGCCUUUUUGCAUGUACUUUAUGAAUAAGGAUCGGCUAACUCCGUGCCAGCAGCCGCGGUAAUACGGAGAUCCGAGCGUUAUCCGGAUUUAUUGGGUUUAAAGGGAGCGUAGAUGGGUUGUUAAGUCAGUUGUGAAAGUUUGCGGCUCAACCGUAAAAUUGCAAUUGAUACUGGCAGUCUUGAGUACAGUUGAGGUAGGCGGAAUUCGUGGUGUAGCGGUGAAAUGCUUAGAUAUCACGAAGAACCCCGAUUGCGAAGGCAGCUUACUAAACUGUGACUGACAUUGAUACUCGAAAGUGUGGGUAUCAAACAGGAUUAGAUACCCGGGUAGUC